rnacentral:rRNA from 1 species
GCGAAGAACCUUACCAGGUCUUGACAUCCUCUGACAACCCUAGAGAUAGGGCGUUCCCCUUCGGGGGACAGAGUGACAGGUGGUGCAUGGUUGUCGUCAGCUCGUGUCGUGAGAUGUUGGGUUAAGGCCCGCAACGAGCGCAACCCUUGAUCUUAGUUGCCAGCAUUCAGUUGGGCACUCUAAGGUGACUGCCGGUGACAAACCGGAGGAAGGUGGGGAUGACGUCAAAUCAUCAUGCCCCUUAUGACCUGGGCUACACACGUGCUACAAUGGAUGGUACAAAGGGCUGCAAACCUGCGAAGGUAAGCGAAUCCCAUAAAGCCAUU